GACGAACGCUGGCGGCGUGCUUAACACAUGCAAGUCGAACGGAAAGGCCCCUUUGGGGGUACUCGAGUGGCGAACGGGUGAGUAACACGUGAGUAACCUGCCCUUGACUUCGGGAUAACUUCAGGAAACUGGGGCUAAUACCGGAUAGGAAUCCUUGCUGCAUGGUGGGGGUUGGAAAGCUUCGGCGGUUUUGGAUGGACUCGCGGCUUAUCAGCUUGUUGGUGGGGUAGUGGCUUACCAAGGCUUUGACGGGUAGCCGGCCUGAGAGGGCGACCGGCCACAUUGGGACUGAGAUACGGCCCAGACUCCUACGGGAGGCAGCAGUGGGGAAUAUUGCACAAUGGGCGGAAGCCUGAUGUAGCAACGCCGCGUGCGGGAUGACGGCCUUCGGGUUGUAAACCGCUUUCAGCAGGGGCGAAGCUUGUGGUGACGGUACCUGCAGAAGAAGCACCGGCUAACUACGUG
rnacentral:rRNA from 1 species